CGGUCUCCGUGUCGCAGCUAACGCAUUAAGUUCCCCGCCUGGGGAGUACGGCCGCAAGGCUAAAACUCAAAGGAAUUGACGGGGGCCCGCACAAGCGGCGGAGCAUGCGGAUUAAUUCGAUGCAACGCGAAGAACCUUACCAAGGCUUGACAUAUACCGGAAACUUCCAGAAAUGGUUGCCCCGCAAGGUCGGUAUACAGGUGGUGCAUGGUUGUCGUCAGCUCGUGUCGUGAGAUGUUGGGUUAAGUCCCGCAACGAGCGCAACCCUCGUUCUAUGUUGCCAGCACGUCAUGGUGGGAACUCAUAGGAGACUGCCGGGGUCAACUCGGAGGAAGGUGGGGAUGACGUCAAAUCAUCAUGCCCCUUAUGUCUUGGGCUUCACGCAUGCUACAAUGGCCGGUACAAAGGGCUGCGAUACCGUAAGGUGGAGCGAAUCCCAAAAAGCCGGUCUCAGUUCGGAUUGAGGUCUGCAACUCGACCUCAUGAAGUCGGAGUCGCUAGUAAUCGCAGAUCAGCAACGCUGCGGUGAAUACGUUCCCGGGCCUUGUACACACCGCCCGUCAAGUCAUGAAAGUCGGUAACACCCGAAGCCAGUGGCCUAACCGCAAGGAGGGAGCUGUCGAAGGUGGGAUCGGUGAUUAGGACUAAGUCGUAAC
rnacentral:rRNA from 1 species